UGUACUCGCCUCCACCUCCAUCACCAUCACCCCCGCCCCCUCCUGUUUACUCUUCUCCACCACCACCACCACCGUAUUGUGUCCGCCCUCCACCACCUCCGCCAAAUUCUCCUCCACCGCCUCCUCCACUGUACUCCUCACCACCGCCAAACCCUUACAUUUAUAGCUCACCACCACCUCCGCCACAUCACUCACCACCUCCACCGCCACAUUCACCCCCACCUCCUAUUUAUCCAUACCAAUCUCCCCCGCCACCUCCACCAGUCCAUUCACCACCACCUCCAUCCCCACCCCCUUGUAUAGAACCACCUCCCCCUCCACCACCACCAUGUGUAGAAUAUUCGCCCCCACCUCCAUUGCCUUCACCUCCACCGCCAACUCAUUAUAAGCCCCCGCCAUCGCCAUCACCACCACCAGCACCAGUAAUUUAUGCUUCGCCACCUCCACCACCACCAGUUUACUAUCCACCACCACCAC
rnacentral:lncRNA from 1 species